CAACAUGUCACUGGCCCGACCCAUGAACAUGGACACACGCUGGACCUGGUUUUCUCGACGGGACAGGAAGAGGGUGAUCUGAGGGUGAGGAAUUUGUGUCUGACUCCCCUGUCAUGGUCAGACCACUUCCUCGUGAGGUUUGAGCUCAAUGGCGGCCUUCCCCUCUGUAAGGGUACAGACCCUAUUGUGUAGGUCCGCCCUUGGAGCCGGGUGGAUCUGGAUGGAUUCUUGAAAGCUCUGGGGGAGUUUCCGGUUGGUAAAGCGGGUGCUCCUGUUGAAGCUCUGGUCGAACUGUGGAAUGGGGAAAUGACCAGAGCUAUUGACACGUUCGCUCCUAAGCAUCCUCUCCUGCUGGGCAGAGCCCGUUCAUCCCCUUGGUAUACACCUGAAUUACGGGCGAUGAAGCGGGUUGGGAGACGACUAGAGCAUAGGUGGAGAAAAUCUUGGGAUGAAUCUGACCGAACACACUUAAGAGCCCAUUAUCGGGCCUAUGCUGUGGUGGUGAGGGCAGCGAAGAAGAAAUUCUUCUCCACUUCCAUUGCCUCCUCACAGUGCCGUCCAGUGGAACUUUUUCGGGUGGUACAGGGGCUGGUACAGCCAGGCCCCAAGAAUGAUCCUGUACCACCCUCGAUAACCCGCUGUGAUGACUUUGCCCAGCACUUCAAGGAGAAAGUCGCUCAGAUUCGUCAUGAGCUGGACUCUGCUAGUGACUCAGAUUCCUUAGGGGAGGUGCCAGUGUUACCGUCUGGUCACACAUCGUUGGAUGAGUUUCAGUUAUUGCGGCCUGAUGACGUGGCCAAGGUGCUUGGACAAGUACGUACCACCACCUGUGUACUGGACCCCUGCCCAUCGUGGCUACUAUCCAAAGCCAAACACGGGAUUGGUUCCUGGAUCGGGGAGGUCAUCAACGCCUCUUUGAAGGACGGCCGGGUGCCUGCCCCUCUAAAGGAGGCGGUGGUCAGGCCGGUCCUAAAGAAGGCGUCCCUGGAUCCAGAGAUGGCCGCCAAUUAUAGACCAGUGGCCAACAUCCCGUUUUUGGGCAAGGUGCUGGAGUGGGUGGUGGCGGGACAACUCCAGGCUCUCUUGGAUGAGACUGAUUAUCUGGACCCAUUUCAGUCCGGCUUCAGACCCGGGUAUGGUACUGAAUCUGCCUUGGUCGCCCUGUAUGAUGACCUGUGCAGGGAGAAAGACAGGGGGACUGCGUCCCUGUUGGUUCUCCUGGACCUCUCAGUGGCUUUCGAUACCAUCGACCAUGGUAUUGUUCUGGAUAGGCUAAGGGGGCUGGGAGUAGGAGGCACUGCUUGGCA
rnacentral:lncRNA from 1 species